rnacentral:rRNA from 1 species
UACGGAGGGGGCGAGCGUUGUUCGGAAUCACUGGGUGUAAAGGGUGCGUAGGCGGUGCGUUAAGUUUGAUGUGAAAGCCCUGGGCUCAACUCAGGAAUUGCAUUGGAAACUGGCGUGCUGGAGUACGGGAGAGGGAAGCGGAAUUCCUGGUGUAGCGGUGAAAUGCGUAGAUACCAGGAGGAACACCGGUGGCGAAGGCGGUUCUCUGGGCAUUACCUGACGCUGAGGAGCGAAAGUGUGGGGAGCGAACAGG